CGAGUGGCGGACGGGUGAGUAAUGUCUGGGAAACUGCCUGAUGGAGGGGGAUAACUACUGGAAACGGUGGCUAAUACCGCAUAACGUCGCAAGACCAAAGAGGGGGACCUUCGGGCCUCUUGCCAUCAGAUGUGCCCAGAUGGGAUUAGCUUGUUGGUGAGGUAACGGCUCACCAAGGCGACGAUCCCUAGCUGGUCUGAGAGGAUGACCAGCCACACUGGAACUGAGACACGGUCCAGACUCCUACGGGAGGCAGCAGUGGGGAAUAUUGCACAAUGGGCGCAAGCCUGAUGCAGCCAUGCCGCGUGUAUGAAGAAGGCCUUCGGGUUGUAAAGUACUUUCAGCGGGGAGGAAGGUGUUGUGGUUAAUAACCGCAGCAAUUGACGUUACCCGCAGAAGAAGCACCGGCUAACUCCGUGCCAGCAGCCGCGGUAAUACGGAGGGUGCAAGCGUUAAUCGGAAUUACUGGGCGUAAAGCGCACGCAGGCGGUCUGUCAAGUCGGAUGUGAAAUCCCCGGGCUCAACCUGGGAACUGCAUUCGAAACUGGCAGGCUUGAGUCUUGUAGAGGGGGGUAGAAUUCCAGGUGUAGCGGUGAAAUGCGUAGA
rnacentral:rRNA from 1 species